GGCAGCCGCGGUAAUUCCAGCUCCAAUAGCGUAUAUUAAAGUUGUUGCAGUUAAAAAGCUCGUAGUUGAACUUCAGGCCUGGCUGGGCGGUCCGCCUUCCGGGUGAGUACUGCCUGUGGUCGGGUCCUACCUUCUGGCGAAGCGUCAUGGCCUUAACCGGCCGUGGCGGGGAACCAGGACUUUUACUGUGAAAAAUUAGAGUGUUCAAAGCAGGCACGCGCUUGAAUACAUUAGCAUGGAAUAAUGGAAUAGGACAGUGGUUCUAUUUGUUGGUUUCUAGGACCGUUGUAAUGAUUAAUAGGGAUAGUUGGGGGCAUUAGUAUUCAAUUGUCAGAGGUGAAAUUCUUGGAUUUAUUGAAGACUAACUACUGCGAAAGCAUUUGCCAAGGAUGUUUUCAUUAAUCAAGAACGAAAGUUAGGGGAUCGAAGACGAUCAGAUACCGUCGUAGUCUUAACCAUAAACUAUGCCGACUAGGAAUCGGGCGAUGUUGACAAAAUGACGCGCUCGGCACCUCAUGGG
rnacentral:misc_RNA from 1 species